GACGAACGCUGGCGGCGUGCCUAAUACAUGCAAGUCGAGCGAAUCGAUGGGAGCUUGCUCCCUGAGAUUAGCGGCGGACGGAUGAGUAACACGUGGGUAACCUGCCUGUAAGACUGGGAUAACUUCGGGAAACCGGAGCUAAUACCGGAUACUUUCUUUUCUCGCAUGAGGGAAGAUGGAAAGAUGGUUCUGCUAUCACUUACAGAUGGACCCGCGGCGCAUUAGCUAGUUGGUGAGGUAACGGCUCACCAAGGCGACGAUGCGUAGCCGAGCUGAGAGGGUGAGCGGCCACACUGGGACUGAGACACAGCCCAGACUCCUACGGGAGGCAGCAGUAGGGAAUCUACCGCAAUGGACGAAAGUCUGACGGAGCAACGCCGCGUGAGCGAAGAAGGCCUUCGGGUCGUAAAGCUCUGUUGUUAGGGAAGAACAAGUACGAGAGUAACUGCUCGUACCUUGACGGUACCUAACCAGAAAGCCACGGCUAACUACGUGCCAGCCGCCGCCGUAACAC
rnacentral:rRNA from 1 species